UCUACGGGUGGCAGCAGUGGGGAAUUUUGCGCAAUGGCCGAAACCCUGACGCAGCAACGCCGCGUGCGGGACGAAGGCCCUCGGGGUGUAAACCGCUUUCAGCAGGGAAGAUCCAAGACGGUACCUGCAGAAGAAGCUCCGGCUAACUACGUGACAGCAGCCGCGGUAAUACGUAGGGGGCGUGCGUUAUCCGGUUUCAUUGGGCGUAAAGCGCGCGUAGGCGGCCACCUAAGCCGGACCUCUAACCCCGGGGCUCAACCCCGUGCCGGGUUCCGGACUGGGCGGCUCGAGUGCGGUAGAGGAGAGCGGAAUUCGCGGUGUAGCGGUGGAAUGCGCAGAUAUCGGGAAGAACACCGAUGGCGAAGGCAGCACCCUGGGCCGUCACUGACGCUGAGGCGCGAAAGCUGGGGGAGCGAACAGGAUUAGAUACCCUUGUAGUC
rnacentral:rRNA from 1 species